UACGUAGGGUCCGAGCGUUGUUCGGAAUUACUGGGCGUAAAGGGCUCGUAGGCGGCCAACUAAGUCGGACGUGAAAUCCCUCGGCUUAACCGGGGAACUGCGUCCGAUACUGGAUGGCUUGAGGUUGGGAGAGGGAUGCGGAAUUCCAGGUGUAGCGGUGAAAUGCGUAGAUAUCGUAAGGAAGACCAGUGGCGAAGGCGGGUCUCUGGACAGUUCCUGACGCUGAGGCACGAAGGCCAGGGGAGCAAACGGG
rnacentral:rRNA from 1 species